rnacentral:rRNA from 1 species
UGAGGAAUAUUGGUCAAUGGACGCAAGUCUGAACCAGCCAAGUAGCGUGCAGGAUGACGGCCCUAUGGGUUGUAAACUGCUUUUAUAUGGGGAUAAAGUGGGGAACGUGUUCCCUUUUGCAGGUACCAUAUGAAUAAGGACCGGCUAAUUCCGUGCCAGCAGCCGCGGUAAUACAGAAGGUUCGGGCGUUAUCCGGAUUUAUUGGGUUUAAAGGGAGCGUAGGCCGUUUGGUAAGCGUGUUGUGAAAUGUAGGAGCUCAACUUCUAGAUUGCAGCGCGAACUGUCAGACUUGAGUGCGCACAACGUAGGCGGAAUUCAUGGUGUAGCGGUGAAAUGCUUAGAUAUCAUGACGAACUCCGAUUGCGAAGGCAGCUUACGGGAGCGCAACUGACGCUAAAGCUCGAAGGUGCGGGUAUCGAACAGG